CGAGUUUCCGUACGAUCACCGAAGUUAAGCAACGUCGAGCCUGGUCAGUACCUAGAUGGGCAACCGCUCGGGAAUACCAGGGGCUGUAAG
rnacentral:rRNA from 1 species